AUUUGCGUAAUUGUUACCUAGCUGUUUGCCGAAUCCUAGGCAGUGAAUUCGCUUUAGUUUGCGUAACCUUACAACUGUCAAUGCGUUGCAGUCAGUGCAGAAGGUUGUAUAACAGUAAUUAAACAUAGUAAACAUGCUGCCAGAACGGAGACUAUGGAGAAGAAAGUUACACAGCGGCGACAAGAUAAAUUAUUUUUGAUGCUAUAUUCACAUGUAUGUGUGUGAUAGCUCAGCGAUUCAGCACAAAAUUUGUCAUUUUGUCCUCUUUUAACUGAUCAAGAGGGUAUAGCUCAGUGGUAUAGCAUUCUUCUGCAGAUUGGGAUGUACUGAUUUCAAACCUGGGUGCCCCCUUGUGCUUAUUAUUAAUGUAAUAAAUGACACUAAGUGAAUGAACUUACGGAUCAUGGAAUUUCCAAGACUUUGUAUACUCAAGAAAUACUUAAUCAAUUGAUUUAUUUCUGAAAUUGUACGUACGGUUAUUGAAGCACACCAUGUUUAUGUUGUGGUGUUGGUUAUGGUGUUGGGCUCAUAACACCAAGAUCAAUGGAUCAAUACUCUUUGAAACACAAGAUUUAUUUAGUUUUUUCCUUUUUAUGCGUAUAUUUUGUUAAAUUUUUAAGUCGCUUAGUAUGUCUUUAACUUAAACUAUCCUAAGUAAUAUUUAAAUGGUUACAUUCCCUGAAAUUGCUUUUACAAGACAAUUCAAUUUGUUGUCUAUUUUUGAGGAAAAAUCUUCAUCUAAUUUACGAUUGCAUUCUCAUUUUUUUUUUACAUAAUUCCCCGUGUUGCUAAUUCCGGACAGUAUACUGCUGCAGAUGAUGUAAAAUUAAACUGCUAUUCAUACUAGUCGCAUUAUGUCAAUAACAGCGUAGUGGGAAGGUGUUGCGCUGGCAUCAUUA